rnacentral:rRNA from 1 species
UACGUAGGGCGCGAGCGUUGUCCGGAUUUAUUGGGCGUAAAGAGCUCGUAGGCGGCUUGUCGCGUCGUCCGUGAAAACCUGGGGCUCAACCCCAGGCUUGCGGUCGAUACGGGCAGGCUCGAGUUCGGUAGGGGAGACUGGAAUUCCUGGUGUAGCGGUGAAAUGCGCAGAUAUCAGGAGGAACACCGGUGGCGAAGGCGGGUCUCUGGGCCGAUACUGACGCUGAGGAGCGAAAGCGUGGGGGAGCGAAACAGG